CUGCGGAAGGGAUCAUUG
rnacentral:rRNA from 1 species